UACGUAGGUGGCAAGCGUUGUCCGGAUUUACUGGGCGUAAAGGAUGCGUAGGCGGAUAUUUAAGUGAGAUGUGAAAUUCCCGAGCUUAACUUGGGAGCUGCAUUUCAAACUGGAUAUCUAGAGUGUGGGAGAGGAGAAUGGAAUUCCUAGUGUAGCGGUGAAAUGCGUAGAGAUUAGGAAGAACACCAGUGGCGAAGGCGAUUCUCUGGACCAUAACUGACGCUGAGGCAUGAAAGCGUGGGUAGCAAACAGG
rnacentral:rRNA from 1 species